GAUGAACGCUGGCGGCGUGCCUAAUACAUGCAAGUCGAGCGAACAGACGAGGAGCUUGCUCCUCUGACGUUAGCGGCGGACGGGUGAGUAACACGUGGAUAACCUACCUAUAAGACUGGGAUAACUUCGGGAAACCGGAGCUAAUACCGGAUAAUAUAUUGAACCGCAUGGUUCAAUAGUGAAAGACGGAUUUGCUGUCACUUAUAGAUGGAUCCGCGCCGCAUUAGCUAGUGGGUAAGGUAACGGCUUACCAAGGCAACGAUGCGUACCCGACCUGAGAGGGUGAUCGGCCACACUGGAACUGAGACACGGUCCAGACUCCUACGGGAGGCAGCAGUAGGGAAUCUUCCGCAAUGGGCGAAAGCCUGACGGAGCAACGCCGCGUGAGUGAUGAAGGUCUUCGGAUCGUAAAACUCUGUUAUUAGGGAAGAACAAAUGUGUAAGUAACUAUGCACGUCUUGACGGUACCUAAUCAGAAAGCCACGGCUAACUACGUG
rnacentral:rRNA from 1 species